rnacentral:lncRNA from 1 species
AUUGCAUUAAAAAAUCAACCAUACUUCUUUUAUAUUUGUUUGAUCGUUUGAGACCUUAUUUAGGAAUAACCUAUACGAUAUGAUGUAGAAAACAACAUUUGUCUUCUGUCAUCAAAAAGGUCAUUCCAGGAUUUGUCCAUACGGUGAAAUAAAACUAUGUUUGGUUUUGUAAUUGAACGGCAGGAAAAUCCUACUACCUUUGAUAUUGUUUGAGUUACUGACCUUAUUGCGAAAGACCACAAGUAUCAUUUGAGAUUCGACGUUCGAUCAAGACUGAUUUUUUCAAUUUCAAUUUCAAAACAUGAAAUUUUUAUGAUUUAUGUCUCAUUUAGAAUUUCUUGAUUUGAAAUGCAAUAUCAGAAUUCGAAAAUCAUUAUCUAAGCAUUUGGAUGAAAUCAUUUUAAAGUUGUUGAGCUGUUAGUUAUAGACAAUGAAAUGUCUUGUAACAAUUAGAUGACUCCGAGUAUAGGUCUAAAUAUAAAAAUAAGAUACCAUUGUCAAUGAGACAACUUUUCAACAAAGACUGAAUGGCAUUGAAGUUACCAGCUGUGUGGCUUCCAACAAUGAGAAAAAACUGUACUACACAGCAAGCUAUAAAAAGCCGUGACAUGCAUAAUGUAGAACAAUUCAAUCUAGAAAAUUCACGGCCUGAUUAAUGGAGUAAACAAC